UCCCAUCUGCCACCACUAGCCCCACCUGGUCUUCCACUUUCCUUGGGAUCUUGCCCGAUCCACCCAAUCGAUCCUGCCUUCUCCUCAUUUCCCCAACGAGCCAACCAACACACACCACCAGCCAGAUCCAUCAAACCACCAAGCGCCCGGCCUCCCUCACUUUUGGAUCGGCAGGCACCGCAUCUGGAUCCCCUCCCUCUCGAGCACUUCCAUGGAGCCAAGCUCCCGUGCCUCUCGUUCGUCCUUCCCGAAGACCAAAAGCACCGAGUCCUCGCAGCCGCCUUUGUCCGAGCACUCCCAUGCCGCCAAGCUGGAGCUCUCCUUUGCCGGCCUCUCAGGUCAUGUCCCUGCCCGUGCCCCUCGUCCUCCCUUUUCCUUCUUUCUCUCUCUAACCUCUAUGUCUAUCUCACCCGUUCAAGCAGGAGCGCAGCCGCCCUCGAUCCAUCUCCAUCCGGCCGAUAACGAGCAGUAGCUUGCCGGAGUUGAGCUCCACCGGGUCUGCCUCCCUCUGCCCGUUGCUGGCGCUCCUCCGCCGCUGCAAGUCCCUCGCUACACCACUUCUCCUCUGCAAUGAGCGGCUGCUGUAGCCGACGCAACCGCCGCGCGCCCUUGGCUGCAUCGCCCCGAACCGGCCUCCUCUUCACCGUUUCAUGCACCUCCGGGCACCUCCGCCUGUUUCCCCGUCCCCGGCAUCGUCUGCAUCUGCACCAAGCCGCUGCCGCUGGCUCUGCUUCACCUGAACCGGGGGUCCUCGUUUAGCUUCUCCCCGCGCCAAGUCCCCUACCGCCAUGGACGUCCCGACACGGGAGCUCGCCGUCGACCGCGCCCGACGUCGCCUGCCUCUGGAUCCGUCGAGCCCCGAUAUCUCUGGCCUCUCCGUCGCGGGAUCCUUCGCGUCCUCUGGUUCAUCCAGCUGCCGCCUGCAUCGAGCGUGACAACCCCCCGUUGACCGCUCCUCUGCUUCCGCUCGUCUAGCGCACCCGCGUGGACUCGAGCGAGUUCAGCGUUUCGGCCCAUCUACGCUGCUACACCUAGCCCAAUGGCAAGGACCAGCCGCUCCCUUGCUGGCCUUGCUCUUCUCUACUACGUGGGCUGAGCCCUCUGGUGAGAAACCAAGCCUGCUCCAGAUGCAGCCCGUAGUAUUUUUUUUACUGCGCUGCGAAUUUGGCUAAUAUCCCAGGUUUUACAGUUUUACAGAAAAACCCCGAACUUCAUGCAUUUAAUAACUCUUGAACCGGGCAUCGGUUUAUAAUGUUUUAUUUAUGCAACUUGACUAAACUUUCAUCUAGUUUCACAAUAUCCAACUUUCAUGCAUGUUUGAUAUGUUGAACUUGCUGUUUGCUUUAAUUUGCUUUAAUGCCAUUUAAAAUGGUUUAUUUCAUAACUAAAUAACCGUAGCUCCGAAUUUAAUAAACUUUUUAUGUAAAUGGGGUAGAAAAAUGCCUAGUUUAACAUGGUGUACUUGCUUUGCAUGAUUAACAACUCUAAAAUAUGGUUUAGGGCAGAACAGUACCAAAUUCAUAUUAUGCACAUGAGGAUUUUCCGAAAUUGUUGUUUGUUGUUCCGGCCUCAUUUAAACUUGCCUAGAUAGGCAGUUUUCAUAUGCUUCACCCCUUGCCAUGUUUAAGAACAUUUAAUAUUGAUGGGUACAUAACCGAGAGAGAACUAAAUAAGUCAUGUGGUGUUUUGUCAAUAUGUAACUCGUUGCAUAUUGAGCUCCACUUAAUUUGUAGUAUUGUUUGUUGCACUUUGCCAUGUCAUGCCUCAUUGAACCAGACUUGCAUCAUACUUGGUUGUGCAUCAUGCGAUCUUCAUGUGAUGGUUGUUUACCAUGUUGCUUGCUUCUUUCCGGGUUGCUUCUCUCGUUAGCUUCGGUUUCGUUCCAGAGUUGUGAGGCUUCUUUCCGGGUUGUUUACCAUGGUUGUCUUCAUGGACUUGUUCUUCUUCCUUACAGGAACUCAGGCAAGAUGACCAUUCCCUCGAAAUCUCUUCUAUCUUUGCUUGCUAGUUGUCCGCUCUAUUGCUAUGUCGCGCUACCUACCACUUGCUAUAUCAUGCCUCCUAUAUUGCCAUGUCAACCCUCUAACCCACCUUUUCCUAGCAAACUAUUGUUUGGCUAUGUUACCGCUUUUGCUUAGCCCCUUUUAUAGCGUUGCUAGUUGCAGGUGAAGUUGAUGUUUGUUCCAUGUUGGAACAUGGAUGUGUUGGGAUAUCACAAUAUCUCUAAUUUAAUUAAUGCAUCUAUAUACUUGGUAAAGGGUGGAAGGCUUGGCCUUAUGCCUGGUGUUUUGUUGCACUCUUGCCGCCUGAGUUUCCGUCAUACCGGUCUUAUGUUCCUUGAUUUUGCGUUCCUUACGCGGUUGGGUGUUAUGGGAACCCCUUCAUAGUUCGCCUUGAAUAAAACUCCUCCAGCAAGGCCUAACCUUGGUUUAAUCAUUUGCCUCACCACCACCUAUACUUUUCCCUUGGGAGUCGUGCUCCCGAGGGUCAUCUUUAUUUUAACCCCCCUGGGCUAGUGCUUCCCUAAGUGUUGGUCCGAACUGGGCGAUGUCUGGCGCCCCCUGGGCAACUAGGGUCUAUGCCAACCCGACGUCUUGCCCAUCCGGUGUGCCCUCAGAACGAGAUAUGAGCAGCUCCUAUCGGGAUCUAUCGACACAUUCGGGCGGUCUUGCUGGUUUUGUUUUACCACUGUAGAAAUGUCUUGUAACCAGGAUUCUGAGGCUCAUCAGGUCUUCUCGGGAGAAGGAAUAUCGUUCAUUGACCGUGAGAGCUUGUGAUGGGCUAAGUUGGGACACCCCUGUAGGGUUUGAACUUUUGAAAGUCGUGCCCGCAAUUAUGUGGCAGAUGGGAAUUGGUUAAUAUCCGGUUGUAGAGAACUUAACACUUGACUUAAGUAAAUGCAUCAACCGUGUGUGUAGCCGUGAUGUUCUCUUCUUGGCGGAGUCCGGGAAGUGAACAUGGUUUUGGAGUUAUGUUUGAAUGUAAGUAGUUUCAGGAUCACUUCUUGAUCACUUCUAGCUUCUCUACCAUUGUGUUGCUUCUCUUCUCGCUCUUAUUUGUGUAUGUUAGCCACCAUAUAUGCUUAGUUCUUGCUGCAGCUCCACCUCUUUAUCUUAUCCUACCCAUAAGCUUAAAUAGUCUUGAUCUCGCGUGUGUGGGAUUGCUGAGUCCUCGUGACUCAAAGAUACUUCCAAACAGUUGCAGGUGAGGCAACCGAGCUCAAGUGGGUGCUCGAUGAAGAUCUUGUCCGUUGUUUUGUGUCAUUUCCGGUUGAUCAGUAGUGUUGCCCAGUUGGGAUGAUCAGGGAUCUAGCAUUUGGGGUUGUCUUCUUUUAUUUUGGUUCCGUAGUCGGUCCUUGAUUGUAUUUUGGAUGAUGUAUGCUUAAUUUGUAUUGGUGUGAAGUGGCGAUUGUAAGCCAACUCUUUAUCCCUUUCUUAUUCAGUACAUGGGAUUAUGUCAAGAUAACCCCUCUUGCGACAAACCUAC
rnacentral:lncRNA from 1 species